rnacentral:rRNA from 1 species
UACGUAGGGUGCAAGCGUUGUCCGGAAUUAUUGGGCGUAAAAGAGCUCGUAGGCGGUUUGUUGCGUCGGCUGUGAAAUCCCGAGCUCAACCUCGGGUCUGCAGUCGAUACGAGCAAACUAGAGUGUUGCAGGGGAGACUGGAAUUCCUGGGUGUAGCGGUGAAAUGCGCAGAUAUCAGGAGGAACACCAAUAGCGAAGGCAGCUCGCUGGGACGUGACUGACGCUGAGACGCGAAAGCGUGGGGAGCAAACAGG